GAUGAACGCUGGCGGCGUGCCUAAUACGUGCAAGUCGAGCGAACUGAUUAGAAGCUUGCUUCUAUGACGUUAGCGGCGGACGGGUGAGUAACACGUGGGCAACCUGCCUGUAAGACUGGGAUAACUUCGGGAAACCGAAGCUAAUACCGGAUAGGAUCUUCUCCUUCAUGGGAGAUGAUUGAAAGAUGGUUUCGGCUAUCACUUACAGAUGGGCCCGCGGUGCAUUAGCUAGUUGGUGAGGUAACGGCUCACCAAGGCAACGAUGCAUAGCCGACCUGAGAGGGUGAUCGGCCACACUGGGACUGAGACACGGCCCAGACUCCUACGGGAGGCAGCAGUAGGGAAUCUUCCGCAAUGGACGAAAGUCUGACGGAGCAACGCCGCGUGAGUGAUGAAGGCUUUCGGGUCGUAAAACUCUGUUGUUAGGGAAGAACAAGUACGAGAGUGACUGCUCGUACCUUGACGGUACCUAACCAGAAAGCCACGGCUAACUACGUGCCAGCCGCCGCAGUAAAAC
rnacentral:rRNA from 1 species